rnacentral:lncRNA from 1 species
GAAGUUCAAAUUUAAAGUAAAACUUAUCUUUAAAAAUAAAUUCAAAUAUCAAAGCUAAGACCACAUAUAACCUCUUAACUAAACUCUCCACUGUUGGUGACUUCUGAAUUUUUUGAGCCGAAGUAAAAAAAAAGAGAUUUGGUUAUAACUCACUUUAUCAUGUCACUUUCGUAAAGUAAUUUUUCAUAUUCAUUUUCGCAAACCAAACAACUGAUAAGGCGUCAAUUUCUAGAAGUAUUUGCACUUUUGAUGCUUCACUUUCGGCCAACCAAAUAUGCCCUAAAACGAAAAUGUUAUUCGUGUAAGUAAAAAAAUUGAUAGAUAAUAUUCGAGAUCCAAAAUUUGAAGAGCAGCUUGUCACGGACUGAAGCGAAAUCGCUUGCCUAGCCUGUGUGGCGCUUGCCUUCUUUCGUGAAGUGAGCAAGCUUAUCUCUCUAUUUGCUAAGUUAGGACCUACUCGCCCUCAACUAACAACAAGAGAGAGAGAGUUUGAGAAAUAUUGCAUAUUGAUAGAAUUAAGAGUACAACUGAUUUUCCUAAGGAGAGGGUGUGAAAGCCACAUCCUUAUAUAGGCAACUCGCCACCCAGACUACAAAUAAAAAGACGCCAAGUGGCGUAUAACUAUAAGGCAAAGAGGGAUGCUGCAAGCUCCCAACAGACUAUAGUCAUUGCCCACCUAGAAAUUCUAAGAGACAGUUGACCUGUCGGUAUUCAUAUCAUCAGUUUUGAUAUUUGCAUAGAAACUUUUAGAACGCCCCAACAAAAUUUCUAACAGAACGCUCCUUCGAAGAUCGAGCCACUAUCAAGAAGAAGUCAGCAAAAAAUAUUUUAUCCGUGACAACAACUGCUACACAUUUUCCUCUAGAAUCGGCUCACAUUUCGAUUUUGUUGGACAAAAUCUCUCCAAACGUGGGGCCCACUAGGCCCUAUUUGGAUGCAUAGUUAAAAAACUUUAUAGAAUUUUUAUUCUGUAGUUUUGGUCUAAAUAAAAUACGGAAUCCUGUGACUACAAAAAAAUUCCACAGCUUUAUUUUUAAGCUGUUUGGAUACAUAUCGUACAAUUCCACAGGAUUUAUAACAAUUAGAUUUUUUAAAUUUUGAAAUUCAAAAUUUAAAAAUAAAAUUUUAAAAAAUUAAAAUUCAAAAUUUAAAAAUAAAAUUUUAAAUUUUAAAUUUUAAAUUUUAAAUUUUAAAUUUUAAAUUUUAAAAAUUAAAUUAAAUUUUAUAUUUGAAAUUUGAAAUUUAAAAUUUAAAGUUUGAAAUUUGAAAUUUGAAAUUUGAAAAUUUUAAUUUGAAAUUCAAAAUAUAAAAUUUGAAAUUUAACAUUCAAAUUUGAAAUUCAAAAUUUAAAAUUUAAAUUUGAAAUUUAAAAUUCAAUUUUAAAAAUUAAAAUUUUAAAUUUUAAAUUUCAAAUUAAAAUUUUAAAAUUAGAGGUUCUGAUUUUAAAUUUAAAUUUCAAAAUUUAAAAGUUAAAAUUUAAAAUUUAAAAUUUAAAAUUUANUUAUAAAUUUACAUAUUUAUAAAUUUUAAAAAUUUAAAAUUUGAAAUUUGAAAUUUGUGAAAAUUGAAAAUUGAAAAUUAAAAUUAAAAUUUCAAAUUUCAAAUUUCAAAUUUUAAAUUUGUAAAUUUGUAAAUUUUUAAUUUAAAUUUUAAAUUUUAAAUUUAAAAAUUUGAAAUUCAAAAUUAGAAAUUAGAAAUUUAAAAUUUAAAAUUUAAAAUUUAAAAUCAAAAUUAAAAUUAAAUUUUAUAAUUUUUAAAUUUGAAAUAUAAAAUUUAGAUUGAAAUUUAAAAUUUUAUGUUGAAACUUAAUAUUUAAAACUUGAUACAUGUUUGGGGUAAGGGAGCCCAAAAUGGUAGAAUUUUUUUCCUUUGGUUAGAGUGGAUUAUAAUUUUACUUCAUUUUUUAGGAUAUAGUAUAACUAUAUUUCAAAAAUUACGUCAUUUUUUUUCUUCUUCUAAACACUUUAUAGGAUUAUUUCUUACCGGUGUAUAGCAUAGAUUAGUUUAACUAUGCUACGUUUUUAGGAGUCUCCAAACGGGACCUAAGUUUGGGCCAAGCCAGGUU